rnacentral:rRNA from 1 species
GAGUGAAGCGGGAAAAGCUCAAAUUUAAAAUCUGGUGGUCUUUGGCCAUCCGAGUUGUAAUUUAGAGAAGCGUCUUCCGCGCUGGACCGUGCAUAAGUCUCCUGGAAUGGAGCGUCAUAGAGGGUGAGAAUCCCGUCUUUGGCAUGGACCCCAGGGCUUCUGUGAUGCGCUCUCAAAGAGUCGAGUUGUUUGGGAAUGCAGCUCAAAAUGGGUGGUGAACUCCAUCUAAAGCUAAAUAUUGGCGAGAGACCGAUAGCGAACAAGUACCGUGAGGGAAAGAUGAAAAGCACUUUGGAAAGAGAGUGAAACAGUACGUGAAAUUGUUGAAAGGGAAACGCUUGAAGUCAGUCGCGUCGACCGAGACUCAGCCUUGCCUCGGCUUGGUGUACUUCUCGGCUGAUGGGUCAGCAUCAAUUUUGACCCUUGGAUAAUGGCAAGGGAAAGGUAGCACCUUUACAGGUGUGUUAUAGUCCUCUGUCGGAUGCAAGGGUUGGGAUUGAGGAACUCAGCACGCACCAUAUUGGUGUCGGGGCCUUGGCCUACGUUACGUGCUU